GGAAACGGCUGCUAACACUCCAUAUGUCGAGAGAUGAAAUAAUUUAUUGCCUAAGGAUGAGCUCACGCCUGAUUAGCUUGUUGGGGUGGUAAUGGCACACCAAGGCGACGAUCAGGAGCUGGUCUGAGAGGAUGGACAGCCACAUUGGGACUGAGACACGGCCCAGACUCCUACGGGAGGCAGCAGUGGGGAAUUUUCCGCAAUGGACGAAAGUCUGACGGAGCGACGCUGCGUGAAGGAUGAAGGCCCGUGGGUUGUAAACUUCUUUUCUCGAAGAAGAAAAAAAUGACGGUAUUCGAGGAAUAAGCAUCGGCUAACUCUGUGCCAGCAGCCGCGGUAAGACAGAGGAUGCAAGUGUUAUUCGGAAUGAUUGGGCGUAAAGAGUCUGUAGGCGGUUUAGAAAGUCUUUUGUGAAAUACUUCAGCUCAACUGAGGCUCCGCAAAAGAAACUUCUAGACUUGAGGAAAGUAGAGGUACAGGGAAUUUCCGGUGGAGCGGUGAAAUGCGUAGAUAUCGGAAGGAACACCAAUAUGGCGAAGGCACUGUACUGGGCUUUUCCUGACGCUCAGAGACGAAAGCUGAAGGAGUGAUUAGGAUUAGAUACCCUAGUAAUUUCAGCCGUAAACGAUGAAAACUCACUGUCGAGCCAAUAUAUGGAGCGGUGGUCAAGCUAACGCGUGAAGUUUUCCGCCUGGGGAUUACGCUUGCAAAAGUGAAACUCAAAGGAAUUGACGGGGACCCGCACAAGCGGUGGAGUAUGUGGUUUAAUUCGAUGCAACGCGAAAAACCUUACCAGGGUUUGAAAUAAUUUCAAAACUUCUUGAAAGAGAAGCCUCCAUCGGGAUGGAAUUACAGGUGGUGCAUGGCUGUCGUCAGCUCGUGUUGUGAAAUGUCAAGUUAAGUCUUGUAACGAGCGCAACCCAUGUCUCUUGUUGCUGUUUACAGUGCUUAAGAGAAACUGCCGAUCAACAUCGGAGGAAGGUGUGGAUGAUGUCAAGUCAGCAUGCCCCUUACAUCCUGGGCUACACACGUACUACAAUGG
rnacentral:rRNA from 1 species